GUGAUCUCUUUGGUUGAUUUUUGUCAUUUGGUUUUGCAUUUCCGGCCGAUUUUUCGCGUCCUCUGAUUAUGUCUGCCGUCAGCCAGAAGCUUCGAAUUUCCAAAAGUCGAGAGCCGACGCCGUUGGAGACCUCUAUUGCGCAAUACAUCCUUGACAUUCAGUCUAGCUCGCAGGACGAUUGGAAGAGGGAGCUUGAGAAAGUAUACAUCGUAUCUGCCAAACAGGUUGAGGCAGACGGCGAGUCCAUCGUAUUGAUAUUCGUUCCCGAGAGAGUUUUGCUUAAGAUUCACCCCAUUCAAAUUCCCUUGGUUUUGGAACUAGAGAAGAAACUUUCUAAAAGCUUGGUUGUUUUUCUUGCCCAAAGAAAAAUUUUACCAGUUCGAGGAAAGAAUCAAAAACCACCUUCAAAAUCUCGAAGGCCCUACAAGAACACGCUUACCUACGUGCACGAAGCCAUUCUUAACGACAUCUUAUACCCGGUCGAAAUUAUCGGAAGACGUAUUCGUUAUAAAACCAAUGGAAGAAAAUAUUACAAAUACUAUCUAGACUUGAAGGACAGACAAAACGUGGAAGGGAGACUGAACAUGUAUGCAGCCGUCUACAAGAAACUCACUGGAAAGAACAUCACUUUCCUAUUUUCUGAAAUUAAGAAGAUUACCAAGUCUAAAUCCAAGUAAUUUCGGACAGUAUUUUUCCUCUCUCGCCUUCUUUCUGCUUCGCCCUUAUUAUCAAUAUAAUAUAUAAAUUUAUUUUAAAUA